rnacentral:misc_RNA from 1 species
GAUGAAGAACGCAGCGAACUGCGAUAAGUAAUGUGAAUUGCAGAAUUCAGUGAAUCAUCGAGUCUUUGAACGCACAUUGCGCCCCCUGGCAUUCCGGGGAGCAUGCCUGUCCGAGCGUCAUUGCUGCCCUUCAAGCCCGGCUUGUGUGUUGGGUCGUCGUCCCCCCCGGGGGACGGGCCCGAAAGGCAGCGGCGGCACCGCGUCCGGUCCUCGAGCGUAUGGGGCUUUGUCACCCGCUCGAUUAGGGCCGGCCGGGCGCCAGCCGGCGUCUCCAACCUUCUAUUUUACCAGGUUGACCUCGGAUCAGGUAGGGAUACCCGCUGAACUUAAGCAUAUCAAUAAGCGGAGGA